GAAUAGGGGAGCCGUAGGGAAACCGAGUCUUAACCGGGCGUUAAGUUGCAGGGUAUAGACCCGAAACCCGGUGAUCUAGCCAUGGGCAGGUUGAAGGUUGGGUAACACUAACUGGAGGACCGAACCGACUAAUGUUGAAAAAUUAGCGGAUGACCUGUGGCUGGGGGUGAAAGGCCAAUCAAACCGGGAGAUAGCUGGUUCUCCCCGAAAGCUAUUUAGGUAGCGCCUCGUGAAUUCAUCUCCGGGGGUAGAGCACUGUUUCGGCUAGGGGGCCAUCCCGGCUUACCAACCCGAUGCAAACUGCGAAUACCGGAGAAUGUUAUCACGGGAGACACACGGCGGGUGCUAACGUCCGUCGUGAAGAGGGAAACAACCCAGACCGCCAGCUAAGGUCCCAAAGUCAUGGUUAAGUGGGAAACGAUGUGGGAAGGCCCAGACAGCCAGGAUGUUGGCUUAGAAGCAGCCAUCAUUUAAAGAAAGCGUAAUAGCUCACUGGUCGAGUCGGCCUGCGCGGAAGAUGUAACGGGGCUAAACCAU
rnacentral:rRNA from 1 species